rnacentral:lncRNA from 1 species
UGACAAGGUCAUAUGAUCUUUUACGUACAUGGCAUCUGUCUAGUAGCCUCUAAAAAUACAUAAUUUUCAUAAAGGUCGGGACAGAGUCCCGCCAUACCAAACAAUACACAUCUAACUCAUACUAACCAAGCAAGCAACUCCGAAGCAAAUGGAGCGCACCAACAUCUUCCUCUGAGUUGAUAGCCUACUUGGAAGGCUCUUGACCUGUCUAUCAGGACCUGUGGGCAUGAAACGCAGUAUCCCCAGGCAAAAAGGGACGUCAGUACGAAUAAUGUACUGAGUAUGUAAGGUAAAUAAAUAAGUAUAUAACAGACAUGGAGGAAAUAUAGAGUAUAUGACUCCACCUGUAAGUCUAGAUAACAUUGUAAAUCAUGAAAUAAUUUUAGUGCUAUGCAUAUGCAUAUGAAUGUCAUGUCGUGCAUAGAUACAUGUUUCAUAACAUCAUCAGCCUCUGACGGCGUCCCAUUAUAUCAUCUCGGCCACUAUGGGCAAAAUCAUCAACGUAUACCAGCUGAUCAAGUGGUGGUGCGUAUAUAACGUCAUAACCUUUCCCAUAUCUCAUAUACAUAUAUAUAUAUAUACAUACAUAUAUACGCAUAUAUAACGCCAUCUGGUCAUGGAUCAAUGUACAUGAAUGCAAUGCAUGAAAAGUACGUUAAUAAAAUCUUUCAGAAUGUCAUAAGACCAUUUUGCCUUUGAGUAAUAUCAUAAAGUAAAAUCUUUUCAACUUUCGUAUUUUUCUGAGUCCUAUGAACAGAUGAUAGAAUAUUAUGACACAGGGAAAUUCAAGAACAUAGAUAUCUCUAAUACUUUUAUGAAUAGAGUCAUUUAUGGAAUUUGUGUAUUUGCUCGUUUCGUUUGUGUCAUAUUGAUCAUGCCAAAAAGAAAGAAGGGAUGGCCUUAACAUACCUGGAGUAGGAAAAAUCCGUAUGAACUCUUUGCUGGAAUAGUAACGUUUCCACUCCUAUCUUCAUGAAUUGUUGAAGAUGUUUAAAAUGUCAUGUUUUGAAGGAAAUGUUGGAAGAUGAUAAGGAAUAUUUUGGUUGAGUUCUGAUGUCUCAUCC